rfam:Lentisphaera araneosa HTCC2155 1101329224548, whole genome shotgun sequence.
CCCAAGGCUCACGCCAUUGGGCUAUAUUAUGUCAUGCCUUCGGCACU